CCUACGGGUGGCAGCAGUCGGGAAUAUUGCGCAAUGGAGGAAACCCUGACGCAGCGACGCCGCGUGUAGGAAGAAGGUCUUCGGAUUGUAAACUGCUUUAGACAGGGAAGAAAAAAGUCAGUACCUUUAGAAUAAGCUCUGGCUAACUACGCGCCAGCAGCAGCGGCAAUCUGCAGGGAGCAAGCGUUAUCCGGAUUUAUUGGGUGUAAAGGGUGCGUAGUUGGAGAAGCAAGUUAGUUGUGAAAUCCUUGGGCUUAACUGAGGAACUGCAACUGAAACUACUUCGCUUGAGUACUGGAGAGGAAGGUGGAAUUCCUGGUGUAGCGGUGAAAUGCGUAGAUAUUAGGAGGAACACCGGUGGCGAAGGCGGCUUUCUGGACAGUAACUGACGUUGAGGCACGAAAGUGUGGGGAGCAAACAGGAUUAGAUACCCCAGUAGUC
rnacentral:rRNA from 1 species